rnacentral:pre_miRNA from 1 species
UGACCCAGAACCCACUGAAGUUAAGGGCAGAGUCCCGUUAGCUUCUGUGGGCUGUAGGUCAGG